GACGAACGCUGGCGGCGUGCUUAACACAUGCAAGUCGAACGGAAAGGCCCCUUUGGGGGUACUCGAGUGGCGAACGGGUGAGUAACACGUGAGUAACCUGCCCUUGACUUCGGGAUAACUUCAGGAAACUGGGGCUAAUACCGGAUAGGAAUCCUUGCUGCAUGGUGGGGGUUGGAAAGCUUCGGCGGUUUUGGAUGGACUCGCGGCUUAUCAGCUUGUUGGUGGGGUUGUGGCUUACCAAGGCUUUGACGGGUAGCCGGCCUGAGAGGGCGACCGGCCACAUUGGGACUGAGAUACGGCCCAGACUCCUACGGGAGGCAGCAGUGGGGAAUAUUGCACAAUGGGCGGAAGCCUGAUGCAGCAACGCCGCGUGCGGGAUGACGGCCUUCGGGUUGUAAACCGCUUUCAGCAGGGGCGAAGCUUGUGGUGACGGUACCUGCAGAAGAAGCACCGGCUAACUACGU
rnacentral:rRNA from 1 species